GGGCCAUAGCUCAGUGGCAAAGCAUCUGCUUUGCAUGCAGAAGGUCCUCAGUUUAAUCCCUGGCAUCUCCA